CCUACGGGAGGCAGCAGUGGGGAAUAUUGGGCAAUGGGCGCAAGCCUGACCGAGCAACGCCGCGUGAAGGAAGAAGGCUUUCGGGUUGUAAACUUCUUUUCUCAGGGACGAAGAAAGUGACGGUACCUGAUGAAUAAGCCACGGCUAACUACGUGCCAGCAGCCGCGGUAAUACGUAGGUGGCAAGCGUUAUCCGGAUUUACUGGGUGUAAAGGGCGUGUAGGCGGGAAAGCAAGUCAGAUGUGAAAACCAUGGGCUCAACCUGUGGCCUGCAUUUGAAACUGUUUUUCUUGAGUGCUGGAGAGGAAGACGGAAUUCCUCGUGUAGCGGUGAAAUGCGUAGAUAUGAGGAGGAACACCAGUGGCGAAGGCGAUCUGCUGGACAGCAACUGACGCUGAGGCGCGAAAGCGUGGGGAGCAAACAGGAUUAGAUACCCGUGUAGUC
rnacentral:rRNA from 1 species